rnacentral:rRNA from 1 species
GUCGCAGCUAACGCAUUAAGCGCCCCGCCUGGGGAGUACGGUCGCAAGACUAAAACUCAAAGGAAUUGACGGGGGCCCGCACAAGCAGCGGAGCAUGCGGCUUAAUUCGAUGCAACGCGAAGAACCUUACCUAGACUUGACAUAUACGGAAAACAUGCAGAGAUGUAUGGUCCUAACGGGCCGUUUACAGGUGGUGCAUGGUUGUCGUCAGCUCGUGUCGUGAGAUGUUGGGUUAAGUCCCGCAACGAGCGCAACCCUCGUUCUAUGUUGCCAGCACGUAAAGGUGGGGACUCAUAGGAGACUGCCGGGGUCAACUCGGAGGAAGGUGGGGAUGACGUCAAAUCAUCAUGCCCCUUAUGUCUAGGGCUGCACGCAUGCUACAAUGGCUGGUACAGAGGGCUGCGAUACCGCAAGGUGGAGCGAAUCCCAAAAAGCCAGUCUCAGUUCGGAUUGGGGUCUGCAACUCGACCCCAUGAAGUUGGAGUUGCUAGUAAUCGCAGAUCAGCAACGCUGCGGUGAAUACGUUCCCGGGCAUUGUACACACCGCCCGUCACGUCACGAAAGUCGGUAACACCCGAAGCCGGUGGCCUAACCGUAAGGAAGGAGCCGUCGAAG